rnacentral:lncRNA from 1 species
AGUGCUAUGAAUUUCCCUCUAAACACUUAAAAUAUGGAACACUUCAUGAAUUUGUGUAUCUUCCUUGUGCAGGGGCCGUGGUAAUCUUCUCUGUAUUGUUACAAUUUUAGUAUAUGUGCUGCUGAGCGAGCACCUUAUUUGUUCUUCUUAUCAUAGAGGAUCCAACAUAUAACUUUGUGAUAUUAUCAGUAUGUAAAUGAUAGCUGAAGCCACAUAUAUAUAAAUGACAUGAUCGGGAAGAAUGUGUGGUGGAGAAAGAAAGAGUUGAAAAUGGAACCCUGGAGAAUAACAACGUUUAAGGUUCAGGCCUUUAAAGAAGUCUUUUUCCUGCAGAUUGGGAAAGAGUAGCUAACCAAGUGAGAGAUAACUCCAGGAAAAUACAACAUUUCAACUGUGAUGGAGAUAUCAGGGAUGUCAAAUGCAUCAGAAAGGUCUAGGAAGAUAAGAAUGGAAAAGUGCUAUGUUUAUCAACACAAUUGUUCUAUUCCUUUUGAAAGGUGAAGCCGGCUGGGCUUCUGGGUUGGGUGGGGACUUGGAGAACUUUUGUGUCUAGCUAAAGGAUUGUAAAUGCACCAACCAGCACUCUGUGUCUAGCUAAAGGAUUGUAAACGCACCAACAGCACUCUGUAAAAUGCACCAGUCAGCAGUCUGUAAAAUGGACCAAUCAGCAGUCUGUAGUAUGGACCAAUCAGGGCUCUGUAAAAUGGACCAAUCAGCAGGAUGUGGGCGGGACCAAAUAAGGGAAUAAAAGCUGGCCCCCUGAGCCAGCAGCGGCAACCUGCUCAGGUCCCAUUCCAUGCUGUGGAAGCUUUGUUGUUUCGCUCUUCACAAUAAAUCUUGCUGCUGCUCACUCUGCGUCCGCACUACCUUUAACAGCUGUAACACUCACUGCGAAGGUCUGCGGCUUCACUCCUGAAGUCAGUGAGACCACGAACCCACCGGGAGGAACAAACAACUCUGGACGCACCAGCUUUAAGAGCUCACUGUGAAGGUCUGCGGCUUCACUCCUGAAGUCAGCAAGACCACGAACCUACUGGGAGGAACAAACAACUCUGGACGUGCCACCUUUAAGAGCUGUAACAUUAACUGCGAAGGUCUGUGGCUUCACUCCUGAAGUCAGCGAAACCAUGAACCCACCAGAAGGAAGAACCUCUGGACAGAUCUGAACAUUUGAAGGAACAAACUCCGGACACACCAUCUUUAAGAACUGUAACACUCACCACGAGAGUCCGCGGCUUCAAUCUUGAAGUCAGCGAGGCCAAGAAACCACUGGAAGGAGCCAAUUCUGGACACAUUUUGGCAACCACGAAGGGACUGUCACCUAUAGCCAAGCGGAUCGAGGCCAUCAAGCUACAGAUGGUCUUACAAAUGGAACCCCAAAUGAGCUCAACUAACAACUUCUACCAAGGACCCUUGGACCAACCCACUGGCCCUUUCAGUGGCCUAAAGAGUUCCCCUCUGGAGGACACUAGAACUGCAGGGCCCCUUCAUAGCCCCCAUCCCCCAGGAACUAGCUAGAGUGGUCAUCACCCGAUUCCCAACAGCAGUUAGGGUGUCCUGUUUAGAGGGAGGACUGAGAGGUGAAGCCGGCUGGGCUUCUGGGUUGGGUGGGGACUUGGAGAACUUUCGUGUCUAGCUAAAGGAUUGUAAAUGCACCAAUCAGCGCUCUGUGUCUAGCUAAAGGAUUGCAAACGCACCAAUCAUCACUCUGUAAAAAUGCACCAAUCAGCACUCUGUAAAAUGGGUCAAUCAGCACUCUGUAAAAUGGACCAAUCAGCCCCCUGUAAAAUGGACAAAUCAGCAGGAUGUGGGCGGGGCCAAAUAAGGGAAUAAAAGCUGGCCACCUGAGCCAGCAGUGGCAACCUGCUAGGGUCCCAUUCCACGCUGUGGAAGCUUUAUUCCUUUGCUCUUCACAAUAAAUCUUGCUGCUGCUCACUCUUUGGGUCCACACUACCUUUAUGAGCUGUAACACUCACUGUGAAGGUCUGCGGCUUCACUCCUGAAGUCAGUGAGACCACGAACCCACCGGGAGGAACAAACAACUCCAGACACACCAUCUUUAAGAGAUGUAACACUCACUGCGAAGGUCUGUGGCUUCACUCCUGAAGUCAGCGAGACCACGAACCCACCGGAAGGAAGAAACUCUGGACACAUCUGAACAUCUGAAGGAACAAACUCCAGAUACACCAUCUUUAAGAACUGUAACACUCACCAUGAGGGUCCGUGGCUUCAUUCGUGAAGUCAGCGAGAUCAAGAACCCACUGGAAGGAACCAAUUCUGGACACACUUUUGUGACACUAGAGUCAGUAGAGAAAUGUGUGAGAUGAUGGAAGGGGGAGACUGACUGGAAGAUGAGGAUGCCAAUGUAGAAACCAUACAUGAGACACCUUUUUCAAAAAGUUUGAAGGGAAGAGAAAAAGAAAGGUACAACAGAGAUGGUUAUUACUUUUAGCUUUUAUCUAAGUGGGGUUUUCUUUUACCUGAAAACGACUGCAGCCUGUUUAAACAGGAAGGAAUCUGUGGAAAUAGAAUAGUCGAGGGCACAGGAAAGGGGCAUGAAGAUAGUUGAAUAGAGAUUUCUGAGGAAGCCAGGCAGUGGUAUCAGAUUGAUCUCAGAGGCAGGGAAAGACACCUCUUCUAGUUUAACAGGACAAAAGAAGCAAAUUUGCCCAUAUGUUGUAAUUGGGAAGUGAGAUAAUAUUUGAAUAAAUUCCUGAGUGAUGAUGCCUCUUUUUUUUCUGUAAAAUAGGAGAUGAUGCCAUGGCUUAAGAGUAAGGAGUGUGGUGGAGAAGGAGGAACUUGCUGUGAGUGAAGGUGUUUUUAAAAGGCCACUGUGGGCUGGGCAUGGUGGC